CGGUGAGGUAGAGGUGCAGACAGAAAGAGUAAUCAAUAGGAGAAUGACAACGUUGAUCAUUGAUGAAAGGGCUGUUUGCCGAAGUGUAGGAAGUUGUCAAACUUUCUAUUGCUGGUAUAGUUUUGAAUAAAGGCUGUACUGUCAUGUUCAAAUGUGCAUGGAGAACUACUGAUCGA
rnacentral:ncRNA from 2 species